AAAUUAAUUAGUAAAUUGUUGCAAGGCUGUACUUAUAUAAAAUUAUUCAAUCGUGACCAUCCAUUUUAAUUAAAAGCUAUUGCUUCACUGUAAUGCAUGUAUCUACCUACUCUCUUUUGUAUUAUCCCCAACAUACAUUCACACUUGAAGUCAAUUAUACUUGGCAACCACACUCACAAAUAUUAUCUCUUAACCCUCAACUAAUAUGGCCACCACCUAACAAUCUAACUUAAUUGUAUGUCUUGAUCUCAUACAAUUACUACCAUUUUACUUUUUAAUUUUUUUAAA
rnacentral:lncRNA from 1 species